rnacentral:rRNA from 1 species
GACGAACGCUGGCGGCGUGCCUAAUACAUGCAAGUAGAACGCUGAAGGGGGAGCUUGCUUCUCUGGAUGAGUUGCGAACGUGUGAGUAACGCGUAGGUAACCUGCCUGGUAGCGGGGGAUAACUAUUGGAAACGAUAGCUAAUACCGCAUAAUAGUAGAUGUUGCAUGACAUUUUCUUAAAAGCUGCAAUUGCAUCACUACCAGAUGGACCUGCGUUGUAUUAGCUAGUUGGUGGGGUAACGGCUCACCAAGGCGACGAUACAUAGCCGACCUGAGAGGGUGAUCGGCCACACUGGGACUGAGACACGGCCCAGAAUUCUAAGGGAGGCAGCAGGAGGGAAUCUUCGGCAAUGGACGGAAGUCUGAACGAGCAACGCCGCGUGAGUGAAGAAGGGUUUCGGAUCGUAAAGCUCUGUUGUAAGAGAAGAAAGAGUGGGAGAGUGGAAAGUUCACACUGUGACGGUAUCAUACCAGAAAGGGACGGCUAACUACGUG